rnacentral:misc_RNA from 1 species
CCGAGUUCGGGGUUUCCCCAACUCCCACCCUUGUUUACCAGACGUUGCUUCGGCGAGACGUUGGAAGCAACCAUCGGCAAUUCAUCAAGAUGCGCCGAUGCGUGCUCGCCGGACUCCAAAUACUCUUAGACUAUGUACAGUCAGAUGAAACAAGCAAUAUAUAA